rnacentral:rRNA from 1 species
UGGGGAAUAUUGGACAAUGGGCGCAAGCCUGAUCCAGCCAUGCCGCGUGAGUGAUGAAGGCCUUAGGGUUGUAAAGCUCUUUCGCCGGUGAAGAUAAUGACGGUAACCGGAGAAGAAGCCCCGGCUAACUUCGUGCCAGCAGCCGCGGUAAUACGAAGGGGGCUAGCGUUGCUCGGAAUCACUGGGCGUAAAGCGCACGUAGGCGGAUCGUUAAGUCAGGGGUGAAAUCCUGGAGCUCAACUCCAGAACUGCCCUUGAUGCUGGCGAUCUCGAGUUCGAGAGAGGUUGGUGGAACUCCGAGUGUAGAGGUGAAAUUCGUAGAUAUUCGGAAGAACACCAGUGGCGAAGGCGGCCAACUGGCUCGAUACUGGCGCUGAGGUGCGAAAAGCGUGGGGAGCAAAACAGGAUUAGAUACCCUGGUAGUCCACGCCGUAAAACGAUGGAUGCUAGCCGUUGGGGGGUUUACCUCUCAGUGGCGCAGCUAACGCCUUAAGCAUCCCGCCUGGGGAGUACGGUCGCAAGAUUAAAACUUAAAUGAAUUGACGGGGUCAUAGCUGUUUCCU